AGAACAAAAAUCGAAGCGUCGCUCUUUACGAAAUUAUUAUAUUUUGUUUGGGUGAUUGCGUCGGAAUUGAGCCUUCUUUCAUAUGUUAAUUCAUGUCAAAGUGGCUUAAAAUUCAUCAAUCUGGUACGAUUUAAAGCGUAUUUAAGAUCAACCUUGAUUAAGAACGCGCGAUGACGUACCAUCUCAUGUAGUACGUUCGACCUGCUUGUCAGGCUCAUUCGUAUACGACAUUCAAC
rnacentral:misc_RNA from 1 species